rnacentral:lncRNA from 1 species
GGAAAUUGAAAAGGGUAUAGUUGCCCUAUGAAAUCAUAAGAAAGUGCCUACCAGCUUAAGCUAAUAAAGCAAAAUGAUUAGAAGAAAGAAAAGAUCCAACAAAGGAAAAGAAUGCAUAAAAAUUUAUGCACAAAAAAAGAAAAAAAAUGAGGGAGAGGAGAAGAAAGAGUGGUGAAAAGAAAGUGAGUAAAGUAAGAAAUACUUAGUAGGAAAUAAUGCAAUACAAGAAGUGGC